rnacentral:tRNA from 1 species
UGAUAUGAAGCAAUUCAGCUAUUAGUUUCGACCUAAUAAUUAGAUAUUAAUUUAUCCAUAUCAU